rnacentral:rRNA from 1 species
GACGAACGCUGGCGGCGUGCUUAACACAUGCAAGUCGAACGAAGAGCGAUGGAAGCUUGCUUCUAUCAAUCUUAGUGGCGAACGGGUGAGUAACGCGUAAUCAACCUGCCCUUCAGAGGGGGACAACAGUUGGAAACGACUGCUAAUACCGCAUACGAUCUGACCUCGGCAUCGAGGAUAGAUGAAAGGUGGCCUCUAUUUAUAAGCUAUCACUGAAGGAGGGGAUUGCGUCUGAUUAGCUAGUUGGAGGGGUAACGGCCCACCAAGGCGAUGAUCAGUAGCCGGUCUGAGAGGAUGAACGGCCACAUUGGGACUGAGACACGGCCCAGAAUCCUACGGGAGGCAGCAGUGGGGAAUCUUCCGCAAUGGACGAAAGUCUGACGGAGCAACGCCGCGUGAGUGAUGACGGCCUUCGGGUUGUAAAGCUCUGUUAAUCGGGACGAAAGGCCUUCUUGCGAAUAGUUAGAAGGAUUGACGGUACCGGAAGAGAAAGCCACGGCUAACUACGUG